AAGGGCGACUGAACUGUCAUGAGCUCACCGUGUGAAUCAGCGGCGCCGAAUUGUGGUCUGGAGGUGUAUGCAUUUGGGCAAAGUCCCUUGGAAGAGGGCAGCAUAGAGGGUGAUACUCCCGUUUGCUUGGUGCCAUCAAUGAGUCGAGUUGUUUGGGAUUGCAGCUCAAAGCCGGUGGUAAAUUCCAUCGAAAGCUAAAUAUAGGCGGGAGACCGAUAGCGCACAAGUACCGUGAGGGAAAGAUGCAAAGAACUUUGAAAAGAGAGUUAAAGAGUGCCUGAAAUUGCUGAGAAGGAAGCGAAGGAAAGUAGUGAUGCUGCGCCAUACUUCCCGACCUGCUUGCGGGUGGGGCGCUGUGGUCAGUGAGGUUCAAUUUGGU
rnacentral:rRNA from 1 species